GACCAGAGGCAAUGGUGGACUUACGAAUCGUGUCAGGUUCGGAAGAAAGCAGCACUAAGUAUGUUCUGUCAUGUGCCUUUUAUAUGA
rnacentral:SRP_RNA from 1 species